GCGGACGGGUUAGUAACGCGUGGGAACGUGCCCUUCACUGCGGAAUAGCCACUGGAAACGGUGAGUAAUACCGCAUACGCCCUUCGGGGGAAAGAUUUAUCGGUGAAGGAUCGGCCCGCGUUAGAUUAGAUAGUUGGUGGGGUAACGGCCUACCAAGUCUACGAUCUAUAGCUGGUUUUAGAGGAUGAUCAGCAACACUGGGACUGAGACACGGCCCAGACUCCUACGGGAGGCAGCAGUGGGGAAUCUUGGACAAUGGGCGCAAGCCUGAUCCAGCCAUGCCGCGUGAGUGAUGAAGGCCUUAGGGUCGUAAAGCUCUUUCGCCAGAGAUGAUAAUGACAGUAUCUGGUAAAGAAACCCCGGCUAACUCCGUGCCAGCAGCCGCGGUAAUACGGAGGGGGUUAGCGUUGUUCGGAAUUACUGGGCGUAAAGCGCACGUAGGCGGAUCAGAAAGUUGGGGGUGAAAUCCCGGGGCUCAACCCCGGAACUGCCUCCAAAACUCCUGGUCUUGAGUUCGAGAGAGGUGAGUGGAAUUCCGAGUGUAGAGGUGAAAUUCGUAGAUAUUCGGAGGAACACCAGUGGCGAAGGCGGCUCACUGGC
rnacentral:rRNA from 1 species